CCGCCGCCUUGCGGAGCGCAGUGAGGAGCUAUCAUAGAGCCGGCGGGGCAGACAAGCCCGCGCCGCCGCGCGCUCCGCCCUGUCAGAGGCCCGGGGGCGGCCGCGCCCCCCCCCCCAUUUUACCUUUUCCAUUAUUUAUACAGUUCCCACUUUUUUAAUUAGUAAUUUUAGUAUUUUCAGUGCUCAAAAUGAAGAGCGGAACGGCGGCCGCAUCUCUCGCUCGGACGCCGCCCGCCAAGGCAGCCGGGCCCGGGGAGAGGCGAAGCUGCCCCACAAAUCCCUCAGGAGAAAAAAGGCCUUCGCAGGGCUCCCCGCGGCCGAGACAAGUUAUGCAGCGCAAGUGCCAGACUUCUGCAGCUCAAGCGCUCAGAGCUAGAACUUCACAACAGCACUUCUGAAACUUGAGGCGAGGUACGUGAUACAGAGAAGAUUAAGAACUACUGCUGCUGCUAAUUGGACAGAAUCUAAUACUCCACCUUGAUGAUCUGAAUAUCACUGUCCUCCAUAUCCAUACUGUCUUCUGAAGGCUGAAUACAAGGUGAAUCUUGUUGCAG